rnacentral:sRNA from 1 species
UUAGCUACAACCGCUCAGAUCAGGUAUAAAGUAUUUGCUUUUCUGUAAAUCACCUGUGAUCGGCGAGUCUUAACU